AUUGAACGCUGGCGGCAGGCCUAACACAUGCAAGUCGAACGAGUGGCGGAAGGGUGAGUAAUGUCUGGGACACUGCCUGAUGGAGGGGGUCCACUACUGGAAACGGAAGCUAAUACCGCAUACCUUAAGAUGUGCCCAGUUGGGCUUAGCUUGUUGGUGGGGUAACGGCUGACCACGGCGACGAUCCCUAGUUGGUGUGAGAGGAUGACCAGCCAGACUGGAACUGAGACACGGUCCAGACUCCUACGGGAGGCAGCAGUGGGGAAUAUUGCACAAUGGGCGCGAGCCUGAUGCAGCCAUGCCGCGUGUAUGAAGAAGGCCUUCGGUGUGUAAAGUACUUUCAGCGGGGAGGCGUUACCCGCAGAAUAAGCACCGGCUAACUCCGUGCCAGCAGCCGCGGUAAUAC
rnacentral:rRNA from 1 species